rnacentral:rRNA from 1 species
CACGCAUGACACACUGCAUAUCAAUAAGCGGAGGAAAAGAAACUAACAAGGAUUCCCUUAGUAACGGCGAGUGAAGCGGGAAGAGCUCAAAUCUGAAAUCUUCAAGGUUCUACCUUGACGAAUUGUAGUUUAAAGAAGUGUUUUCUGUUAGUGGAGUGGCAAAAGUUCUCUGGAAUAGGACAUCAUAGAGGGUGAGAAUCCCGUAUUUGGUCAUUCCUUCUAGCUUUGUGAUACACUUUCAAAGAGUCGGAUUGUUUGGGAAUGCAGUCCAAAAUGGGUGGUAAAUUUCAUCUAAAGCUAAAUAUUGGCGAGAGACCGAUAGCGAACAAGUACCGUGAGGGAAAGAUGAGAAGAACUUUGAAAAGAGAGUUAAACAGUACGUGAAGUUGUCAAAAGGGAAGCGUUUGACACCAGUGUUGUUUUUCCGAAAAUCAAUUACUAAUGUUUUAGUUUCUGAGGAAGUGAUGACUUCAUCGGCUUGCUUCUCUCUUUAUGAAACUUUCUUAAUGCACUUUUCGGUUAACAAGUCGACAUCAAUUUCUUUUGUUGUAAAAGGGUAUGAGGAAGGUGGCUUUCUUUUCGGAGAAAGUGUUUAUAGCCUUGUACCUCUGCAAUCGGAGAGAUUGAGGUCUGCAGCGUAGAUCCUUCGGGGUUAGAUACAUUUGUGCUAAGCUAUAGCCUUGUAUAGACAACUUGUUGACUAUGCUCAGUCAUGUAGCUUACUCGCUUAUGCUAUUUUACCUACGCUUAGGAUGUUGAUCUACAGAGCGAGAGU